GUCUGCGGCCAUAGCACCCUCUCUGUGACCAGAUCUCACUAAUCUUGGAAGCUAACCAGGGUUGGGCCUGGUUGGUACUUGGAUGGGAAAAUAUAAAACAUUUUUAAUGCUACAGACU
rnacentral:rRNA from 1 species